CUUUGCAGCAGCCAGGAGUCCGACUCCUCCUCUUCCUGUGUGGAACCUGGAAUUCAAACGGCUGGGUAGGAAGCACGCUAGCAGGGGCCUCUGGCCUUGCUGAGGGUCCCUGUUUCCCCUUUUCCUUCCUUUUCACCCAACAAAACCCUGCUUUACUCACCCUUCAAACCAUCUAUGAGCCUAAAUUGUCGUGGUCGUGGAAUGGACAAGGACCCAGUCUUUAGCUGAACUAAGGGAAAGUCCUGCUUUUUGGCGCGCAACAGGGGAGCUCAAGAAACAGGCCUCACUCACGGCAUAUGGAACUAACCACGCCCCUAACUAAGAAGGCACACCUUAGUUGCAGUUAGCACACAAUUAAAGCAACUCUCCAAGUUUUACCUUAAAGUUCAAAAUUGCUAGGAGUUGAAACUACUAGAAAUAUAUUUACAUGCAAGAGUCAAAGAAACUUUGAACUAUUUAUGGCCUUUAAUAAUUAAGUAAGGUAUACUCCUGUGAUCAAGACUUGGAGCAUAUUUGUUUCUCUCUGCCUGGUUCCUCUAGAAAUUGGAAACUAUCAGAACAGAGACCAACUCCGUUUCCCGAUCCCUUUGCAAUCUGCAUUGAACCAUGAGUCAAGUUCUUGAUAAAGGAGUGAAAAUGGUAAGUCUAAAGCAAUGAAAAGCUGCUGUAUUGACUACACAUGCCUUCAUUUCUUCUACCCUGCUUCUUUCAUGCCUGCUUAUCUGAAUGACACCAGGAUGACAUUUAAGGCACAUCUGAAGAUGGGGAAACCACAGCACAGAAUAAGGCUGGGCCCUUGAAUCAAUAAAUGAAGGAGAACUACUCAAGAGAACAAAACCACCAGCAAUAUCCACCUGUAUUUGUCUUUUCAUAAUGUGUGACACAUGUGCUCAUGGAUUAUUGUCCGAAGCAAGACAUGUGACCAAGCCUAACAUCAACUGGGUGAAGAGCUAUAUGUUCCUUUCUCAAGAGGCACUACAAGUGACAUGCCACUGGGCAGUUUAGCAAAAGCUGGAGGUGCCUUGACAUUUGCAGUACACUGAAACAGUGGCUGGCUUGAAAAAUCCCAAAACGAUUUUCUGCAGGAGAGCCCUUUUGACUAAUAUGAG
rnacentral:lncRNA from 10 species